rnacentral:rRNA from 1 species
CAUGUAGGCGGUUUUUUAAGUCUGGAGUGAAAAUGCGGGGCUCAACCCCGUAUGGCUCUGGAUACUGGAAGACUUGAGUGCAGGAGAGGAAAGGGGAAUUCCCAGUGUAGCGGUGAAAUGCGUAGAUAUUGGGAGGAACACCAGUGGCGAAGGCGCCUUUCUGGACUGUGUCUGACGCUGAGAUGCGAAAGCCAGGGUAAGCGAACGG